rnacentral:rRNA from 1 species
AACGAACGCUGGCGGCAUGCCUAACACAUGCAAGUCGAACGGGAUCCUAGCUUGCUAGGUGAGAGUGGCGGACGGGUGAGUAACACGUGGGAAUCUGCCUUUUGGUUCGGGAUAACCGCGGGAAACUGCGGCUAAUACCGAAUGCCCUCGAGAGAGGAAAGAUUUAUCGCCAGAAGAGGAGCCCGCGUCCGAUUAGGUAGUUGGUGGGGUAAAGGCCUACCAAGCCGACGAUCGGUAGCUGGUCUGAGAGGAUGAUCAGCCACACUGGGACUGAGAUACGGCCCAGACUCCUACGGGAGGCAGCAGUGGGGAAUAUUGGACAAUGGGGGCAACCCUGAUCCAGCAAUGCCGCGUGAGUGAUGAA